GGCCUGGUGGCCUAAUGGUAAGGCGUUGGUUUCCGGUACCAAAGACUUCGGGUUCGAGUCCCGACUGGGUCG
rnacentral:tRNA from 1 species